rnacentral:lncRNA from 1 species
GGGAUCAGGUGGACAGCGUUCCACCCGGGUGGAAAAGCGGAAGGUGCAGGUGCUCAGUAAGGCCGGGUUUGCAGUGGAGGGGGGGCAUGAAAUGCGCAUGUGUGAGGGGAACACUUACACCAGAAGAGGGGGUUGUAUUGAAGAGGCAGGGCAGUAAAUAGUAUGUGAAGUAUGUGUGUGCACGCAGGUAUGUGGAGCGCACGCGCGUGUGUGUGUGUGUGUGUGUGUGUGUGUGUGUAAUAGACAGAAAUACAAGAGAGAGAAUGAAUUCCUGUGAUCACCAGACAUAACUAGCUUAUGACUGCAAAGCAAUAUUUAUUCCUGGGCUCAAUACUUCUCCAGAAAUGUCCCAUGACUUUACUCUGAAAUGGGUACAGCCAUAAGAAAAUGUGCUAAGUAAGACCAGGCCAUCUGGGGAGCACAGGUGGCUGCAGCAAACCCGACAGGUAAAGGAGGCAGGGCUGCCUGCGCCCUGGAUGAUCUCUCCUGGGAUUUCUUCCCAGACUUUGGUGAACCUGGCUCAGAAGGCCCCAGUGGAGAGGGUGGCAAAUGGGUGAGCCUGGGGAAGAGAUAUGUUACUUUAACAGUUUGUUUAUUAUGAUUUGCAGAGAGCGAGUGUGUCCUUCAUUUUUGUUUCUGGGAGCAUAAACACGUCCCCUUUUUAAAAGUCACCAGGAAAGGAUUGGCAUCCCCUACCCUGCCUUUAUCCUGGAGACUCAAGUACAGACCUGCUGACCACUUGGUUGCAGUCAAGGCCAUUCACUCCUAGAGCUAGGGCUAAAACCAUGAUUACUGAAAGUAAUUUUGUGGAAAGGCAUUUUUGGUUUUCUUUUCAUAUGUAUAUGUUCAUAUUUAGUUCACUAUUACUUUGAAAAAAGAUGAAUUAGUCCCUCAGGCCUGGACUUUGUUUGAUGUUUUUAUUUAUACUUUCUUUUUAGCCAGUUCCAUCUUACUGAGGGCCCUACCCUUAUUUCACGUGGUGUUUUCCUUCCUGUAACCUGAAGGACCUAACGUUAGUUGAGUAAAUAAAAAUAAGGCUAGUUUUUUCAGAUAAUAAACCGAAAGGCAGUGUUUUAAUUAUAGGUGUAUGUGGUGACUUGUAUAGUAUCCCCACCCCUGUACCCUCCAUUCACGCCAUGUGAAGAUGGAGGCAGAGAUUGGGGUGAUGUGGCUACAAGCCAAGGAAUGCCAAUGAUUGCCACCACCACCAGAAGCUGAGAGAGGGGCAUGGAGCAGAUUUUCCCUUAGAGGUUCCAGAAGAAACCAACACUGCUAACACCUUGAUUUCAGACCUCCAACCUCCAGAAAUGUGAGAGAAUACAGUACUUUUGUUUUAAGCCACCAGUUGAAGCCAAUACAGCACGAGUUCUGAGCUUUCACUCCACAGCAGCUCUGUCAGCACAGCAGCCUGAGAGACCCUGGUCAAAUACAAAGCAGUCGGGCUACUGCUCUGCUUAGGGGAGACAGGGUGAAGUCCGUGAGAUGAUCGACAAACUCUCACCUCAUUUCAUCUCUUCCUUGACACACUGCCCUUCUUGGUAUUUUCCAACAUGCCUCAGAAAUUUCUGUUAUUCUGGGAUUUUUUUUUUUUUUUUUUUUUUUUUUUUUUUUGUCUUUUUAAGGCUGCCCCCAUGGCAUAUAGAGGUUCCCAGGCUAGGAGACAAAUCAGAGCUGUAGCUGCUGGCCUACACCAUGGCCACAACAACGCCAGAUCCAAGCCAUGUCUGCGACCUACACCACAGCUCAAGGCAAUGCCAGAUCCUUAACCCACUGAGUGAGGCCAGGGGUCGAACUUGUGUCCUCGUGGAUACUAGUCCGAUUCGUUUCCACUGAGCCACGAUGGGAACCCCUGGGAUGGUCUUUUGCUGAUAUACACAAGGUUCCCUCCCUUACCUCCUUCAGGUCUUUUCUCCUCUGGCACCCUCUUAGUGAGAUGUCCCCUGACCUCUCUAUUGAAAAUCACCACCAAUAUUCCUUAUCCCCCUUGCUGUCUUAAUUUUCUCUUUUUCACUGUCUAGCAUAUCAUAUGUUUUACUUAUUUAUCAUGUCUUCCCCCAGGAGAGGAUCAGCUGUCUGGGGACGGGAUGGAUGUUUUGUCUGUCCUGUUUUUUACCAUGUCUCUUCUGCCUGUGUGCCCAACACAUAGUUGGUUGGUAUUCAAUGAAUUUUUGUUGGAUGAGCAAACACAUACAUGGUAUGUAGUUUUGCUUUCUUGUUUAUAGAUGAGAGCACCUAAUUUCUAAAUUCCUUGCUUAUGAACAGCUGCCCAAGCUGGCAGAACUUACAUUCCUUUUACUGAUUUUGGAAAUGCCUCCAAAUCUGGACAUUUGGCAGCCAGCAUAGGGAACAUUUAGUGUCCUGGGCCCAGGCUAUGGAGCCUGGAACUCUAGGCCCCGAGAAUCCACAUGGUUCUUGGAGGUUAGUGUCUUAGUCUGCUCAGGCUGCCAUAACAAAAUAUCACAGAUUGGUUGGCUUAUACGGCACAUACUUAUUUUCCCCUGGUUCUGGAGGCUGCAAGUCCCAGCAGAGUCAGGUUCUUAUGAUAACCAUCUUCCUGGCUUGCAGAGAGCUGCCUCCUUGCUGUGUCCUCACAUGGCAGACGGAGCUCUGGUGUCUCUUCCUCUUCCCAUGAGCCAGUUCUGUUGGAUCAGAGAUGAUGCCCUAAUUUAACUUCAAGCAUCUCUCAAAACCCUGUCUCCAUCAGGCACAUGGGGCUUAGGACCCCCAUGGCCUCACAAUAUGAAUUUGGGGAAGACACCAUUCGAUCCGUCCCAUCAGUGCCACAUCUAGCUUUCUGGCGCUAAACUGGCUUUUUGCAGUAACAUUCUAUAAUCUUUUCUCGAACAAAAGUAGAUACAGAAUUCAAAAUGCUAAAUCUUUGCAAGUAAUAUAGACUACGUCUCAUUCAUAUUUUGGCAACCCCCUGAAUCUAGAAAUACAGAUGAUUGAUAGUCUACAGACAGAGUCCCUGUGGCCCGUUAUUUACCCCCUGCUUGGCGUUUUGUGGUGAGGGGUUGACAUGCAGUCUAGGGUAUGUUAGGGUUACAAAACAAUCUUGUUUCUCUUUUUCUUCUCAAAGACCACCUCCCCUUAGACGGUAUGCGGCCAGCAAGGCUGGUGUCAAAGGUUCUGUCUCUCCUGAGCUUCCCUCCCAGUGCGACCUGGUCUGAGUGCUUUCAGUACCUCACAGCAGAUGUCUCAGAUAUGUGUCACCUGUCACAGGGUGACUAGGCAAGAGGGUGUGGGUGAGUCAUUGCCCGUCGUCCCCACUAUUAGAACAUUUAAAGCACAUGCUCUGCAGACUGUGGGUCGAUCAUACGAAUUUCCCAGUAAUGAUGAAAAGAAUGGGAGUUUUGUGGUGCAGCGGGUAAGGAUCUGGCAUUGUCACAGCAGCAACUCAGGUCACUACUGUAGCAUGGGUUUGAUCCCUGUCCCAGGAACUUCUGCAUGCCACAGGCUUG